rnacentral:rRNA from 1 species
CCUACGGGAGGCAGCAGUGGGGAAUAUUGCGCAAUGGGCGAAAGCCUGACGCAGCGACGCCGCGUGAGGGAUGAAGGUCUUCGGAUCGUAAACCUCUGUCAGCAGGGAAGAACGGUCACUGUGCUAAUCAGCAGUGAAUUGACGGUACCUGCAAAGGAAGCACCGGCUAACUCCGUGCCAGCAGCCGCGGUAAUACGGAGGGUGCGAGCGUUAAUCGGAAUUACUGGGCGUAAAGCGCUCGUAGGCGGGAUGUCAAGUCAAGGGUGAAAUCCCCGCGCUCAACGUGGGAACUGCCUUGGAAACUGGCAAACUGGAGUGUGUGAGAGGAUAGUGGAAUUCCAGGUGUAGGAGUGAAAGCCGUAGAUAUCUGGAGGAACAUCAGUGGCGAAGGCGACUAUCUGGCACAUAACUGACGCUGAGGAGCGAAAGCGUGGGUAGCAAACAGGAUUAGAUACCCUAGUAGUC